rnacentral:lncRNA from 1 species
UGGGCUGCCAGGCAGUUAGGCCUAUGGAGAGCUGCUGUCAGUCUCUCUAGGAGGCCAUGGUUUCCUGCAUGUGGGGGAGAGCCCCAUCCCCCAGACUCUGGAGUGAGUUUAAUUUCCCAAGGCAAGUCUGCCUGAUUGUCCUCUCCUUUCCUUACCUUCAGCACCAAGAAGUUUCCGGUCCCGGUACAGAUCAGUGAGGAAGAGGCUAUUGACAAGUGUGGAUUUGCCCAGGCCAGACUCUCCUGAGAGGAGAGAGGACAGAGGCACCAAAUCAGAAGGGACCCUUCUCUGGGCUGUCUGAUAGUCUGCAGAGACACAGCUGCUUCCGUGCUCUAGGAGAGAGGGACUCCUUGGAGAUCUGAUCUCACUAGUAGUCGUAAUUCUUUGGAUGGGCUCAGUUUGUACUGCUUCAUCCUUUGGAGAAGGCUCCAGACCCUCCUUUACUCUCCCGAGAUUCUAGAAAUUCUCAGGACUCAUCCAGAGAAGGAAUCAGCCAGAAGAUCCUAUGAAGACAAGAUCAAACCAAACACGCUGUGUUCGCCCCAGUUUUAAUAAGAAAUCUGACUGAAAACAAAUGGUUGAAUGUGCUGCUAACAGAGAGGGCCAAACGAUGAUGUCUAUUGUGGCAGCUGAACAAAGUGAGACUUACAGAACUGGAACUGCUGCCCUGACAGCAACUGAAGCAGAAAGAGAAGAAAGGAGCUUACAACCAGGACACUCAAACU